GAGCCCGUAGCUCAGCUGGUAGAGCACUUGACUUUUAAUCAGGCUGUCCCGGGUUCGAAUCCCGGCGGGCUCACCA
rnacentral:tRNA from 1 species